UUAAUACCGGAUAGAUCAAAGAAACUGGAAUGUUCUUUGGUUGAAAGCUCCGGCGCCCAAGGAUGGGUCUGCGGCCUAUCAGGUAGUAGUGGGUGUAACGUACCUACUAGCCUACGACGGGUAGGGGUUGUGAGAGCAAGAGCCCUGAGAUGGAUUCUGAGACAUGAAUCCAGGCCCUACGGGGUGCAGCAGGCGCGAAAACUUUACACUGCGGGAAACCGCGAUAAGGGGACCCCGAGUGCCAGCACCUAGUGCUGGCUGUCCAGCUGUUCAAAAAACAGUUGUUAGCAAGGGCCGGGCAAGACCGGUGCCAGCCGCCGCGGUAACACCGGCGGCCCGAGUGGUAGCCGUUAUUAUUGGGUUUAAAGGGUCCGUAGCCGGCCUAUUAAGUCUCUUGGGAAAUCUGGCGACUCAAUCGUCAGGCGUUCA
rnacentral:rRNA from 1 species